rnacentral:misc_RNA from 1 species
UCUUUUUUUUUUUUUUUUUUUUUUUAAUUUUAUAUAUAUGGUUUUUUUUUUUUUUUUUUUUUUUUUUUUUUUUUUUUUUUUUUUUUUUUUUUUUUUUAAUUAUGAGUAUAUUGAUCUUUUUUUUUUGAUUAUACAUUUAUGUGUUUUAUUGAUUUCCAGAGUAUUUUUUUUUUUUUUUUUUUUUUUUUUUUUUUUUUUUUUUUUUUUUUUUUUUUUUUUUUUUUUUUUUUUUUUUUUAAUACUAUAUAAUAUAUUAAGUAAUCUUAAAAACUAGUACACAAAAGCU